UNGAGUCAACGCCAGGAAUCUCACCGGGGGCGACAGCAGGAUGACGGCCAGGCUGACGACCUUGCCCGACGCGCUGAGAGGAGGUGCAUGGCCGUCGCCAGCUCGUGUCGUGAGAUGUCCGGUUAAGUCCGGCAACGAGCGAGACCCCCGCCCCCAGUUGCGAUCCGGUCCUCCGGGACCGGAGCACACUGGGGGGACUGCCGCCGUGUAAGGCGGAGGAAGGAGGGGGCCACGGCAGGUCAGCAUGCCCCGAAA
rnacentral:rRNA from 1 species